rnacentral:rRNA from 1 species
CGAGGACGAACGCUGGCGGCGUGCUUAACACAUGCAAGUCGAACGGUGAAGGGGAGCUUGCUCCCCGGAUCAGUGGCGAACGGGUGAGUAACACGUGGGCAACCUGCCCCAGACUUCGGGAUAACGCUUCGAAAGAGGUGCUAAUACCGGAUACGAACUCCUUGGGCAUCCCGGGAGUUGGAAAGUUUUUUCGGUCUGGGAUGGGCCCGCGGCCUAUCAGCUUGUUGGUGAGGUAACGGCUCACCAAGGCGACGACGGGUAGCCGGCCUGAGAGGGCGACCGGCCACACUGGGACUGAGACACGGCCCAGACUCCUACGGGAGGCAGCAGUGGGGAAUAUUGCGCAAUGGGCGAAAGCCUGACGCAGCAACGCCGCGUGAGGGAUGACGGCCUUCGGGUUGUAAACCUCUUUCAGCAGGGAAGAAGCGAAAGUGACGGUACCUGCAGAAGAAGCACCGGCUAACUACGUG